rnacentral:sRNA from 1 species
UUUAGCCCGGAUUGCAGUGGAAAUCCUUUUUUGCGGGCUGAGCCUGCGAAGCCCGCAAAAAAGAUUGCAACGGAAAGCCGGAC